rnacentral:rRNA from 1 species
GACGAACGCUGGCGGCGUGCUUAACACAUGCAAGUCGAACGGUGAACGAGGGAGCUUGCUCCCUCCGGAUCAGUGGCGAACGGGUGAGUAACACGUGAGCAAUCUGCCCCGAACUCUGGGAUAAGCGUUGGAAACGACGUCUAAUACCGGAUACGACGCGGGAGGGCAUCCUCUCCGCGUGGAAAGAACUUCGGUUCGGGAUGAGCUCGCGGCCUAUCGGCUUGUUGGUGAGGUAACGGCUCACCAAGGCAACGACGGGUAGCCGGCCUGAGAGGGUGACCGGCCAAACGGGGACUAGGAAAUGCCCAGGCCGCGGACGGGAGGGAGCGGUGGGAAAUCUUGAAGAGGGGGGCCGAGCGGGAGGCAGCAACGCGGGGGGAGGGACACCGUCUUUCGGUUGGAAAACCUCUUUAGACGGGAAAAAGCAGAAAGUGACGGUACCUAAAAAAAAAGCACCGGCAAACUACGUG